UACAGAGGUCCCGAGCGUUGUUCGGAUUCACUGGGCGUAAAGGGUGCGUAGGUGGCAUGGUAAGUUUGAUGUGAAAGCUCAGGGCUCAACCCUGAAAUGGCAUUGAAUACUACUGUGCUGGAGGUUUGGAGGGGGGACUGGAAUUCUUGGUGUAGCAGUGAAAUGCGUAGAUAUCAAGAGGAACACCAGUGGCGAAGGCGGCUCACUGGGACGGUAUUGACGCUGAGACGCGAAAGCGUGGGGAGCAAACAGG
rnacentral:rRNA from 1 species